rnacentral:rRNA from 1 species
AACGGCCAUACCAUGCUGAAUAUACCGGUUCUCGUUAGAUCACCGAAGUCAAGCAUCAUUGGGCGCGGUCAGUACUUGGGUGGGUGACCACCAGGGAACACCGCGUGCCGUU